UGAAAGAUGAGCGGCGGACGGGUGAGUAACGCGUGGGUAACCUGCCCUAUACACAUGGAUAACAUACUGAAAAGUUUACUAAUACAUGAUAAUAUAUAUUUACGGCAUCGUAGAUAUAUCAAAGUGUUAGCGGUAUAGGAUGGACCCGCGUCUGAUUAGCUAGUUGGUGAGAUAACUGCCCACCAAGGCGACGAUCAGUAGCCGACCUGAGAGGGUGAUCGGCCACAUUGGAACUGAGACACGGUCCAAACUCCUACGGGAGGCAGCAGUGGGGAAUAUUGCACAAUGGGCGCAAGCCUGAUGCAGCAACGCCGCGUGAACGAUGAAGGUCUUCGGAUCGUAAAGUUCUGUUGCAGGGGAAGAUAAUGACGGUACCCUGUGAGGAAGCCCCGGCUAACUACGUGCCAGCAGCCGCGGUAAUACGUAGGGGGCUAGCGUUAUCCGGAUUUACUGGGCGUAAAGGGUGCGUAGGUGGUCUUUCAAGUCGGUGGUUAAAGGCUACGGCUCAACCGUAGUUAGCCUCCGAAACUGGAAGACUUGAGUGCAGGAGAGGAAAGUGGAAUUCCCAGUGUAGCGGUGAAAUGCGUAGAUAUUGGGAGGAACACCAGUAGCGAAGGCGGCUUUCUGGACUGCAACUGACACUGAGGCACGAAAGCGUGGGUAGCAAACAGGAUUAGAUACCCUGGUAGUCCACGCUGUAAACGAUGAGUACUAGGUGUCGGGGGUUACCCCCCUCGGUGCCGCAGCUAACGCAGUUAAGUACUCCGCCUGGGGAGUACGCACGCAAGUGUG
rnacentral:rRNA from 1 species